AUUGAACGCUGGCGGCAUGCCUUACACAUGCAAGUCGAACGGCAGCACGGGAGCAAUCCUGGUGGCGAGUGGCGAACGGGUGAGUAAUAUAUCGGAACGUGCCCAGUCGUGGGGGAUAACGUAGCGAAAGCUACGCUAAUACCGCAUACGAUCUAUGGAUGAAAGCGGGGGAUCGCAAGACCUCGCGCGAUUGGAGCGGCCGAUAUCAGAUUAGGUAGUUGGUGAGGUAAAGGCUCACCAAGCCGACGAUCUGUAGCUGGUCUGAGAGGACGACCAGCCACACUGGGACUGAGACACGGCCCAGACUCCUACGGGAGGCAGCAGUGGGGAAUUUUGGACAAUGGGCGCAAGCCUGAUCCAGCAAUGCCGCGUGCAGGAUGAAGGCCUUCGGGUUGUAAACUGCUUUUGUACGGUAACGAAACGGUGAGCUCUAAUACAGUUUGCUAAUGACGGUACCGUAAGAAUAAGCACCGGCUAACUACG
rnacentral:rRNA from 1 species